rnacentral:rRNA from 1 species
UACGUAGGGUGCGAGCGUUGUCCGGAAUUAUUGGGCGUAAAGGGCUCGUAGGCGGUUUGUCGCGUCGGGAGUGAAAACCCAGGGCUUAACCCUGGGCUGGCUUUCGAUACGGGCAGACUAGAGGUAUGCAGGGGAGAACGGAAUUCCUGGUGUAGCGGUGAAAUGCGCAGAUAUCAGGAGGAACACCGGUGGCGAAGGCGGCAUCCUGGACCAACACUGACGCUGAGGAGCGAAAGCCAGGGGAGCAAACGGG